CAUCCUGGCUCUCCUGGCUAUGCACCUGCAGCCUCUCCUUGCAGUCCUCCUCCUCCUCCUCCUCUUCCUGCCUCUGUCCUCCUCCUCUGCUGUUGGACGGCAGUAGUGCGCACUGAGCAGCGGGAGUGCGCAAGGCGGCCGGCAUGCACCUGGAGAGAAACCACCCCGCCAAGCCGAGCAAAGGCUCAGCCGGAGACACAGCAGCAUGCAGGGCGAUGCUCUAACAGCGGGGAUAAAGCAGCAGAUCACCGGGUGGAUAAGGAGCUGCAGCAUGGGCGUGGGAGAGAGGCGCAAACUAAAUGAGAGCGAUGUGAUUCCACUGGCAUAAGGAGGGUGGGUGGGGGGAACCCGAGUCGUGUUGGAUCAGAGUGUCCCGGGUGUAUUGGGAGGGCUUGGUUUGGUGUCUUGUUCGCUCAAAUUUAGCAAACACAGUACUUUUUCCCCCCCUCUGCAACCUCCACUGGAGUUGAAAGAAUGGAGAAAGGCGCACAGCAGCAGCAGCUGCCCAAAAGCGCAGAGGGUCCGGCGGACGACAUCUCCAAAAUAAACGACGAGGAGCUGCUGAAGUGGGGCAAAGAGGAGCUGGUGCGGCGCCUGCGGAGGGCAGAGGCGGAGAAGAGGGGCGUAAUUGUGGAGCACGGAAAUCUGAUGCGGGAGGUGAACCGGAGACUCCAGCAGCACCUGAACGAGAUCCGGAGUUUGAAGGACGUGAACCAGAAACUGCAGGAGGAUAACCAGGAGCUGCGGGACCUGUGCUGCUUCCUAGACGACGACCGUCAGAAGGGGAAGAAGGUGUCUCGUGAGUGGCAGCGUCUGGGCCGCUACAGCGCCGGCCUGAUGAGGAAGGAGGUGGCCAUCUACCUGCAGAAGCUGAAGGAGCUGGAGCAGCGGCAGGUGGAGGUGAUCCGGGAGAACCUGGAGCUAAAGGAGGUGUGUUUAAUGCUGGAGGAGGAGAGGGCUGCGGCUGUGACAGGAGGGGGCGGAGGUGGGCUGGGAGGUCCUGGGCGCAGGAGCUCCAUUGACAGUCAGAGCAGUUUGUCCCAGUUGGGUGGAGGUGUCCCGGCACCUGGCCUGCUAAGGGACGUCGGUGAUGGGAGCAGCACCUCUAGUGCGGGGAGUACAGAUAGCCCAGAUAACCCCCACCUUAAACCCCCUCCAAUGGGCUCCAACACCAUGCCUGGAUCUGGGUCAAGGUGUGGCUCCACAGAACACCACCACAAACCUGGAGAGGUGUGUGAUUCCACAGGAAGGAGGCAUAGCUCCACCCCGGAGUACCACACCUUCCCUCAGUCUUGCCGCCCCCGUGGGGGAUCCCUCACCAACUUGGAUCCUCGUGGACUAAGAGGACACAGCCCAGAGAAACACAGCAAGUCCCCCACCAGACUUCCCUGCGAGUCCCACCACCAACCCUGUAGCUCUGACCUUCUAGCCCAGAAACAGCUCUCGAUGUCAGGGCAGGCAUCACCAGGCUGUGGGAAGGGAUCAGCCAAGUCCAGCCCAGAGCUGAGUCAGAGACACAGGCAGGUUCACAUGGCAGGGGGCGGCUGUGGGAGUCCUGAGGCCAAACAUGCGGCCAUGGUGACACCUGAGCAUCUUAGGAAAGGAAGGGUGAUUGUUGGUAGUCCUGAGUCCAUAAGGCACCACCAUCACUACCAGCACAGCCCUGGUGGGGAGCAUGGGAGGUAUACCAGUGGCUCCCCCAGCAGGGAUGGAGGUCAGAGGAGGGUGGCAGCAGGAGAUGAGAUGGCCUCCCACCACCAGAGUCUGUACAACGGUAGGCACAGGCUCUGAUUUCUGCUGGUUGCUGCACCAACUCCUGUAGAAGUGUAAAGCUCUGGGACAGCUUUGAUGCCUCCUGACCAUGACAUGCCUCUUGAUCAGAUGCUGCUUUGACAACACAAACCCUGGAGAGAGAAGGAGAGGGUUAUUAGCAGGAUGAAUGGAUGGAUAGACGAUUAAAUCGAUGCAUAACUGGAUGGAUAAAUGAUCAUGGAAUUAUACGUCAAGCAGUGAAGAAUAAGGACGCAGAUAUGUGCAAGAAGGAAAACAAAGGAGGCAAAACCUCUGAAACACUCUCUCUGCCCUGUCUUCUGCUGCUGUUGCUGCUGCUAUGCAUUUACUGUGGACCACCAGAAAAGACUGAAUGUCAGUGUUCGGACAGGCAAAGGAUCAUCCCUGCAUUGCCAAAAUGAAGAAACUAUGGGGAGAAAAUUAAAAAAAAGACAGCCGAGAAGUGUUGUGUUGCCAACAAAAUAGUCCUACCUCUUUGGAAAGACAGACACCUUUUGGAUGAAUGAAACUGAACGUGGAAGAGUAUCUUCUCAUGCCAACGUUGGAGCUUACAGCCACUUCUCUACACAAUCACAACACCAGUGAAUAUUAAAACCUAAUGCCCAACCACAAGACAAUGGUAACUACUUUGACAAAAAGAUUUGUGGCCCUGGACUAAAAGCACAAAAUAACUAACUAAAGAAAGCAAAAAUAUUCUUGUUUUAUUGAGCAGCGGUAGCCGUCAUUUUUCUGGCAUUUGUGGUAACAUUGAACUCAACAAUUUGGGAAAACAGCAACAUAGAUACAACGUCCAACUGGGUAAGAUACACAAAAGGUUAUCCAAUCAGGCAGGCUACAAACAAGUUUAGCUCUAUUUUAUCAACCAAUUGAUUUUGGAGCCAAUCCAUGAAGGUUUCCGGUUGUUAACAUUGAGGCUGGUGACUACAAAUGAACCGUCUUCUAUUAUUUCUCCAUUGUCAGCUCUUAGUGUAUUUGAAGC